CUGGUUGGCUGGGAGAGGCAGGAGGAGGCGGUUUCCUGGGUAACGAAGGAGCGAGGAGCAGUUCUAGGAGCAGCAGCAGGAGCAGCAGCAGCAGCAGCAGCAGCAGCCACCACCACAACCACCACUGCUGCCGCCUCCUCCUCUCAGGCUGAGGAGCUUGGGGUCGAAACGCAGCUGGGAAGAGAAGCAAGAAGAGGCGGCUCUGGCGAGUUGGAGCUAGGUCAGGUACUUGUUGGAGUUCAUGAAACAUUACAACCAGCAUAAUGAGCAUGUGCUAGCUGGAUGCAAGGCAGUUCCUGGUGCCAAGUAUUUCUAUUGAUUUAUGGGAGGAAGGGGCUCCAGGAGAGGGAUGCUGAUGCUAUCAUGGCACUGGAUUAAAUGCCCAUUUGUACCUUUAUCGACAAAUAAAUUUUCCAUGCCAAGAAGGCAGUGAUGUGGCACAGGCCCCUGGAUGUGGACUCCUCCAUGCUGCUUCUUGCCCUGGAUCGAGUGAGGUGAAUUCCAGAUUGGAGCUAAGAUCCCAAGCUCUCACAAUGUCUUCGGCUUUGUUUAUUGUCCCUGAGGCAUUGAUGGCAAGCAAACUUUCGAAAUGGAUUUUAAGAAACCAAGAAGAUAUUUGAAAGGCUGUUCUUGGUUUUUUUUCCUAGUGGCUGUAUGUGUAUUUGAGCGAAUGUAUGCUUCAUUUCCCUCCCCAUGUUUUUUAUUCAACUGUGGAUUUGGAAGAAAAACUUUUAAAAAGAGAGAAGAGUAUUGUAUUUCUGGGAAAUGGAAUCUGUCCCUGAGUCCGGCCAACAUCAGAAGAGAAAACCAGUGACACAUGGCCUGGAAGAUCAAAAGAGGCUUAAACUAGACUGGAACUGGACCAUGGAAUGUGUCCAGGGUAAGUUUACUACCAGUCUGGAUCUUUCAUCAGCUACUCACGGGCAUCCUCUCCAUCAGGGUGUGUACACAAGCAUGCCAGACUUUGCAAUGGCUGACAAAGAAGAGAAAAGGUAGGACACAAAUUCAUAUAUAAAUGUGAUGUCUGGGAAAGUCUCUGCAUAAUCUCACAUGGAUCAAAUGACCAUAGAUUUCAAGUUGAAAGGGACGUUAGAGUUUAUCUAAUCCAAACCCUUCAUGUUUCAAAUAAGGAAACUGAGGCCAGUUAGGCUUAGAUACUAGCCCAAAGCCACACAAGUAUUAAGUGGCAAAGCUAGAAUUCAAACCCAGAUCCUUUGAUUUCCACUCCCUUUCUACUGUCAUAGUUUGCCUCACUGACUAGAUGGCCAUCCCAGAGCUUUGAAUGGCAAAUGUUUGAAAUGAUAAGCAAUGAAAAAUACUUAUCCCACAAAUGCUUAACCUGUGUUAAGGCUUACCCAUGGCAAAUAUUUCAAAGGAGUGGAUUAAAGAAAGGAAGAUCAUUUAUUAAGC
rnacentral:lncRNA from 1 species